UAUGAGAUACAUCAUCCAUUUUACUGUUUACAUACAUUUUAAUACAUAUAUUAAUACAUAAAUAAAGUGUUCAGCCUCUGUACUCUGACUGACAUAACACUGUUUUGCUAUUCUAAAUCCCACAGUCCCAUAUGUCCAUCCUGUUUGCGACCACCAAAGGAAUCUGGAGCAGAGGGAUGUGUUUGGUGCUGAGGUGGACGUAUUUCCCAGGGUCCUCUGUGGCAAAGUUGCUGAGAUCAGCUCACCGGCGCACCUGGCGGUCUCUCCCUGGGCACCCGGGCAGCAGCUGUCGGGAUACACUCGGCUUUGUGUUUUUAUACGAGAGAAGAGCACAGAGUGACUGCCACAUAUGAGGAGAGCGGGAAUCAAAGGAAGCCGUGGAAUGCUUCAAGGCUGCAUGCCAAGGUCUUUGACCUUAUCAUCCACCUCACUGGUUCCGGAAGAAUCUUUUCCGCCCCCUGCAGCUACCAAAGCCCCGGCCGAUACACGGAGCACAGCAGCAGACCAUCUCCAGCCUCAGACUAACAGCCAAGCGCCACAACCAGUUAGGAGUGAUCCCAGCGGAGCGCCCAAGUGGCUCAAACUGCCAGGUAUGUUCUAAUCAUCCCCGGCGUGGGCCCCGUGGCUCCUUAACAAAGCUUAGCCUUAGGACCUCAGGCCCCUCAGAGAGGCCCGGGGCCUCCAGGAAACUCCGCAUGUCACAGCAGAACGCACAGUAAACAGAGAUGCUGCAUCUGUAUUUGCAUUCCCUCCACACACGCGAGCGUUCCCGUCAAACGCAUGCGCACCAAAUGCCCGGCGCCCAUGUUUUGUUUGUGCUUUUUUUUUUUUUUUUGACAGCGCUGUAAAUGUUUGUAACUUUUUCAUGUGUUGCGUGUGGAGCAUCUAAGAGGAAUGCACUCGCUCUGUGUCCCCCUGCAGCAUUCCUCCAUGGUUAGACAGCUCCGUGCCCAUGAGGGGGCCACAAGGGCCUCUUGUCUCCUCGGCACUAAUGCAUCACAGCCCCAGAUCAAGCACAACAUGCAUGCGAGCACAUACAUGCACACAAACAUCCGAGAACAGAUGCCAUGCCAUCACAUAUUUAUUAUAUAAAACACUCACAAACACGCGUAAUGGAAAUGUUGGAGGUAAAAAUGGCACUGAUGGCAGAUAUCACCUGUAGCUUCUUUGUGGAUUAAGACUUCCUGUUGUCUCUUGUCUUUGCAAGAAUUAUAAAUUUGCUUGCAUGACAGAAGAUUUAAUUUGUCUUUCCAAGACUUAAUACUGUCAACCAAAUGUUGUAACCAGAUUUUUUUUUAAAAGUACAAAGUAAUAUACUUUGUUACAGUACUAGUAGUAUUUCUGUCAACUUUCACGUUUACUCCACUACAUUUCCGGAAUAAAAUGUGUACCUUUACUCCGAUACAUUUCCCCUAAGCAUCUUUGUUACUCGUUACU